AGCGAACGCUGGCGGCAGGCCUAAAACAUGCAAGUCGAACGCCCGUAGCAAUACGGGAGUGGCAGACGGGUGAGUAACACGUGGGAACGUACCCUUUGGUUCGGAACAACACAGGGAAACUUGUGCUAAUACCGGAUAAGCCCUUACGGGGAAAGAUUUAUCGCCAGAGGAUCGGCCCGCGUCUGAUUAGCUUGUUGGUGAGGUAACGGCUCACCAAGGCUACGAUCAGUAGCUGGUCUGAGAGGAUGAUCAGCCACACUGGGACUGAGACACGGCCCAGACUCCUACGGGAGGCAGCAGUUAGGAAUCUUGGACAAUGGGCGCAAGCCUGAUCCAGCCAUGCCGCGUGAGUGAUGAAGGCCUUAGGGUUNUAAAGCUCUUUCAGCGGGGAAGAUAAUGACGGUACCGCAGAAGAAGCCCCGGCUAACUUCGUGCCAGCAGCCGACGGU
rnacentral:rRNA from 1 species